AGAGUUUGAUCCUGGCUCAGAGUGAACGCUGGCGGCAGGCCUAAUACAUGCAAGUCGAACGGCAGCACAGCAGAGCUUGCUCUGUGGGUGGCGAGUGGCGGACGGGUGAGGAAUACAUGGGAAUCUGCCCAGUCGUGGGGGAUAACGUAUGGAAACGUACGCUAAUACCGCAUGCGCCCUUUGGGGGAAAGCCGGGGACCUUCGGGCCUGGCGCGAUUGGAUGAGCCCAUGUUCGAUUAGCUAGUUGGCGGGGUAAAGGCCCACCAAGGCGACGAUCGAUAGCUGGUCUGAGAGGAUGAUCAGCCACACUGGGACUGAGACACGGCCCAGACUCCUACGGGAGGCAGCAGUAGGGAAUAUUGGACAAUGGGCGCAAGCCUGAUCCAGCCAUGCCGCGUGAGUGAAGAAGGCCCUCGGG
rnacentral:rRNA from 1 species